UACAGAGGGUGCAAGCGUUAAUCGGAAUUACUGGGCGUAAAGGGCGCGUAGGCGGCCUGUUAAGUCGAACGUGAAAUCCCCGGGCUCAACCCGGGAACUGCGUCCGAUACUGGCAGGCUUGAAUCCGGGAGAGGGAUGCGGAAUUCCAGGUGUAGCGGUGAAAUGCGUAGAUAUCUGGAGGAACACCGGUGGCGAAGGCGGCAUCCUGGACCGGCAUUGACGCUGAGGCGCGAAAGCCAGGGGAGCAAACGGG
rnacentral:rRNA from 1 species